ncrna:Calothrix sp. PCC 6303 CyVA-1 RNA
CUACUGGUGGGGAGUUUUACCGUUGUGUCCCCUUGCUGCAUCUAGAAGGAGAGCGAUGUCACAGAUGCAGACAGUAU